CUUGUCCCAGGAGGCACUGUGGGUGUGGCCACUGUGUCACAUGUAUGUCAGUAGGUGGCAGAGAGGAGAGAGGCCAUGUCUACACUCGGUGUUCUGACCUAUGAACAUCUGAAUGAUUAGUAGCCUAACAUU